rnacentral:lncRNA from 1 species
GUUGAAAUCGUGAUGAGACAAGUAAAUUGCACGAGAAUCUUUACUCAAUUUAGGUCAUAUCUGAAACUGUUUCCUUUUUGUCCUCUGCCAAAAGCGGAAGAAUAUUGUUUUUGUGUUGUCCGUCCGGCUGUCAGUCUGGGCGUUUAUAGAAGAAGAAGAAGAAGAAUAUUUUAUUGACUUAAACUGUACACAGUUUCUGGUCAUACAUAUAUACAUAUUACAAUAAGCAUAGCUUAACAAUAAGGUCAUAGUUACUGUAAAAUAAAUCAAUAAUUAACAGAUCUAUAGAUCUAUAAUUAUACCAGUAGUUUGUUCACAAGUUAUAUACUGAGCUGUGAGGGUGGUUUUCUUCAAAUUAUAACAAUAAUAUUAACACAUUUUGUCCAUCAUGGUACUCUUACUUUUCUAGCGACUAUAUCUAACUAUCUAUCUAGCAAAAUGUUACCAAAGUAGAUGCUCGAUUUCCAGUCUACAGUAGACAGGCUGCUCGAAAAACCAAUAUAUACUGGUUUUCUCAUGGCGCGGCUCAUAUUAAACAUUUUUUUUUCAGAAUAAACCCGUAGUAAAUUUUACCAUAUUUGGAACAAUCUACAUCGCAAGUCAACACCUCCAAAUAAGGAAAUCCGAUAUCACGGUUCAUACAUAUUCGGGCAUGCGUAGUCAGUGUGUAAACCAAGCUUGCAACAGCUGAAAAACUGGGACAUGUGUUUUGGAUAUAUUAACCUCAAAUAUCAGGCUGUAUAAUUGUAACAGCAUCAUUGAUAAAAGUAUAACUGACACAGUGGCACGCACGGGGAUUAUAGGAAUAUGUGAUAUUGUACAGCAUCGAAAAACAGCAACAACAACAACAAGUCUUGAUAUGCAGAGAAAAUAAGAUUCUGCAAAUGGCGCUGUUGUCUGUCGUUUCUAUUCUGAGAAUAUCUGUCAGUUUCAACACGAAGUUUAUGAGAUGCAAGCCUUAAUCGCACCAAAGCAACACAAUAUAUUAUAAUGCGGAUUGUAUUUAAGCUAGAAUCGCCACAUUUUACAUCACGUAUUAUCCC